rnacentral:rRNA from 1 species
UAGGGAAUAUUGGACAAUGGGCGCAAGCCUGAUCCAGCCAUGCCGCGUGAGUGAAGAAGGCCCUCGGGUUGUAAAGCUCUUUUGUCCGGAAAGAAAAGCAUCGGGUUAAUACCCCGGUGUUCUGACGGUACCGGAAGAAUAAGCACCGGCUAACUUCGUGCCAGCAGCCGCGGUAAUACGAAGGGUGCAAGCGUUACUCGGAAUUACUGGGCGUAAAGCGUGCGUAGGUGGUUCGUUAAGUCUGAUGUGAAAGCCCUGGGCUCAACCUGGGAAUGGCAUUGGAAACUGGCGGACUAGAGUGCGGUAGAGGGUAGCGGAAUUCCCGGUGUAGCAGUGAAAUGCGUAGAGAUCGGGAGGAACAUCCGUGGCGAAGGCGGCUACCUGGACCAGCACUGACACUGAGGCACGAAAGCGUGGGGAGCAAACAGGAUUAGAUACCCUGGUAGUCCACGCCCUAAACGAUGCGAACUGGAUGUUGGGCUCAACUUGGAGCUCAGUAUCGAAGCUAACGCGUUAAGUUCGCCGCCUGGGGAGUACGGUCGCAAGACUG